AAGGUCCUGAGUUCGAUCCCCAGUACAAAAAAAAAACAAAACACACACACACACAAUGGACCUUGAAACUGCCAUCUCAGCACCUGCCCACAAUCCCUAUCAUUUUGCAAUAAGCUCUUCUUACAUUCUAUGACACAGCCUAGGAGUCCUGUCUGAAAUCUCUCACCAAAGACACCAAAAAUGGAGGUGUGUCUUCAGGGGCUCGUGGUGUUAAAAUCUUCUGGUGUUAGGACCUGGCUUCUCUAUGACAGGAUCGUUAGAAUCUAUCUCGCGCUGCAUACGUUAUCCUAAUGACACCUCAAGAAACAAUUUCAGGGAGGAACUAUUAUUAGCCCUUUUUGCAAAAAAGGAAACUGAGCUUACAGAAGUUAAAUAACAGGUCUAAGGUCACAGAGUUACUGAGGGGCAACUGGAGACUUGGAGCCACUCAGCUGACCCUAGAGCCAGUGUCACGAUCACUGCACGUCUUACUCCCAACGCAGGGGCUCACCCUAAGGCUGGGCUGGACCGGAACAAGUAGUCAGGAAAGAAUAUACACACAAGAUCUACAUUUGAAACUCUACAAGCUGACGAGAAGGAGGGAGGAAAAGUGGAAAGGAAAAAAGAAAGCAAGUGACCGGCACAUCCCACAGAACUCUUAAUUUUCAGCAGUUUCCAAUGUAUCUUCUGGAUUCAACAUAGAUUUCAAGGAUUUAUGUACGGAGC
rnacentral:lncRNA from 1 species